CGAACGGGUGAGUAAUAUAUCGGAACGUGCCCAGUAGUGGGGGAUAACUGCUCGAAAGAGCAGCUAAUACCGCAUACGACCUGAGGGUGAAAGGGGGGGAUCGCAAGACCUCUCGCUAUUGGAGCGGCCGAUAUCAGAUUAGCUAGUUGGUGGGGUAAAGGCCUACCAAGGCAACGAUCUGUAGUUGGUCUGAGAGGACGACCAGCCACACUGGGACUGAGACACGGCCCAGACUCCUACGGGAGGCAGCAGUGGGGAAUUUUGGACAAUGGGCGCAAGCCUGAUCCAGCAAUGCCGCGUGCAGGAAGAAGGCCUUCGGGUUGUAAACUGCUUUUGUCAGGGAAGAAAUCUUCUGGGCUAAUACCCC
rnacentral:rRNA from 1 species